AAUGUUUAAUGCUGGGUCUUUCAAAUGUGUGUCCUUUACAUACUUUGGGUCUUAUUUAGCAGCCAGAGAAUCAAGAGGUAUGCUUUUUCGUCGUAUAAGUAAUUUAUCCCAGGUAUUUAUAAUUGUAGCAGUAUGUGUUUGGCUUAUUUAUCUGAAAGAAAUUGAACACCAGAAUUUAAUAAUUAAGGAUUUAUUAGUUAAAACUGAGUGUUAUAAUGAGCCAGAUGCUGCUGCAUUGAAACAGCCAUUUUCAUUAGCAUUUUUAAGUAGAAGAGAAUUGAAUUUAAAUUUGGAGUGUCUUGACUUUGAUGAGUUGACAUUUUAAAAUCUUUUAAAAUCCAUCAAAUAGAAGGCAAACUUCUUUUAAUUUCAAUGAAAGACAACACUCACACUGAAAUAUCAAAAUAGCAUUUUUGAAACGUUGGGGUUGUUGGAGUGGUUGGAUUUUCCCUGGAAUUGAGUGAGAAAUUCAGAAGACUGAAGCCCAGGCUUACUGUCUACCUUUCACGGAGGCCUAGCCGUGAGAGGACAGAAGAAGGCACGUGGCGAAUCAUGACAGCGGACAAAGACAAAGACAAAGACAAAGAGAAGGACCGGGACCGAGACCGGGACCGAGAGAGAGAGAAAAGAGACAAAGCAAGAGAGAGUGAGAAUUCAAGGCCACGCCGGAGCUGUACCUUAGAAGGAGGAGCCAAAAAUUAUGCUGAGAGUGAUCACAGUGAAGACGAGGACAAUGACAACAAUAGUGCCACCGCAGAGGAGUCCACAAAGAAGAACAAGAAGAAACCACCGAAAAAAAAGUCUCGUUAUGAAAGGACAGAUACCGGCGAGAUAACAUCCUACAUCACUGAAGAUGAUGUGGUCUACAGACCAGGAGACUGUGUGUAUAUCGAGAGUCGGAGGCCAAACACACCGUAUUUCAUCUGUAGCAUUCAAGACUUCAAACUGGUCCACAACUCCCAGGCCUGUUGCAGAUCUCCAACUCCUGCUUUGUGUGACCCCCCAGCAUGCUCUCUGCCGGUGGCAUCACAGCCACCACAGCAUCUUUCUGAAGCCGGGAGAGGGCCUGUAGGGAGUAAGAGGGACCAUCUCCUCAUGAACGUCAAAUGGUACUACCGUCAAUCUGAGGUUCCAGAUUCUGUGUAUCAGCAUUUGGUUCAGGAUCGACAUAAUGAAAAUGACUCUGGAAGAGAACUUGUCAUUACAGACCCAGUUAUCAAGAACCGAGAGCUCUUCAUUUCUGAUUACGUUGACACUUACCAUGCUGCUGCCCUUAGAGGGAAGUGUAACAUCUCCCAUUUUUCUGACAUAUUUGCUGCUAGAGAGUUCAAAGCCCGAGUGGAUUCAUUUUUCUACAUAUUAGGAUAUAACCCUGAGACAAGGAGGCUGAACAGUACCCAGGGGGAGAUUCGUGUUGGUCCUAGUCAUCAGGCCAAACUUCCAGAUCUGCAACCAUUUCCUUCUCCGGAUGGUGAUACAGUGACCCAACAUGAGGAACUGGUCUGGAUGCCUGGAGUUAACGACUGUGACCUCCUUAUGUACUUGAGGGCAGCAAGGAGCAUGGCAGCAUUUGCAGGGAUGUGUGAUGGAGGCUCUACAGAAGACGGCUGUGUCGCAGCCUCUCGGGAUGACACCACUCUGAAUGCGCUGAACACACUGCACGAAAGCGGUUACGAUGCUGGCAAAGCCCUGCAGCGCCUGGUGAAGAAGCCUGUGCCCAAGCUCAUCGAGAAGUGCUGGACCGAGGACGAAGUGGUGAGCAGGAACCAGCAUUUGCCUUGUGCUCUGGGGCAUCGGGCCACCGGCGUCUCAGUGUGUGACCUCCCUGCUGCUCAGGGAAAGCAGAAGCUUCAGUCAUGCAGAAUGGCUGUCCGUGGCGGCGCCAGGCAGGAGGAUGGGGCCCUUCAGCCCCAUAAUUGUACAGAAAGACUUGAUUUUAUUAAGAUUAGGCUUCAUAGAUGAUGGGAAAGAUUGUCCAACUUUCAUGGAAAGAAAGGAGAAAUUGAUAGUUACUCCUAAAAAAAGUUAAUUUGAACUUGUUUUUGGUGCAAGCUAGCUUGUGAUACCUCCCUAUUUAAAGACACAGCAUGUUAAAACCCGUGGACAUAUAACCUAAAGUAGGGUUGGUGACUUGUCUUUUUUUUAAUCGUAAUUAUUUUAGAGAAGGGGGUCUUGCUGUGUUGCUCAGGCUUGUUUUGAACUCCUGGGCUCCAUCAGUCCUCUUGCCCCAGCUUCUUGAGUAGCUGGGACUGUGGGCAUGCUCCACCAUGCUUGGCUUGGUGGCUUGUUUUUAUAGGGCUUGUAAGACCCCUGACCUCCUAAACGACAUUGAUUACAAGCGGGAAGCAGAGAGUUGAUGAAAUAAAUAUACUGGAUUUUACAUACUGAUUGUAUUGCUGUGGCCUGUUGAAGGAAGUGGGGAGAGAGAAAUGCGCCCACAAAUACAGCCUUGCAAACCCAUGGAUUCCCAUCCAGCAGACAGUUUUAAUGAAGCUACAUCUCCAUCUUGUGACUUGUAAAAGGCAUUGCUGUAAACGACUUACGGAUUUUUUGUGCUUUUGAAAUACAGUCUUCAGUAUGAAUGUUACCGCUUGACAUUUGCCUUUCAGGUCGAAUGAAAUUUAAAUGAAGGCUGGCACUAAUACACAUAUUGAUUGCAAGUUCCUCUCCUGUAUUUUAAAAUAUGCUAAGAAAGAAUGUUUAGAAAUUG
rnacentral:sRNA from 1 species